rnacentral:rRNA from 1 species
AUUGAACGCUGGCGGCAUGCCUUACACAUGCAAGUCGAACGGCAGCACGGGUGCUUGCACCUGGUGGCGAGUGGCGAACGGGUGAGUAAUAUAUCGGAACGUACCUUAUUGUGGGGGAUAACGCAGCGAAAGCUGUGCUAAUACCGCAUAAUCCCUAAGGGGGAAAGCGGGGGACCGUAAGGCCUCGCGCAAUUAGAGCGGCCGAUACCUGAUUAGCUAGUUGGUGAGGUAAAGGCUCACCAAGGCAACGAUCAGUAGCUGGUCUGAGAGGACGAUCAGCCACACUGGGACUGAGACACGGCCCAGACUCCUACGGGAGGCAGCAGUGGGGAAUUUUGGACAAUGGGGGCAACCCUGAUCCAGCAAUGCCGCGUGAGUGAAGAAGGCCUUCGGGUUGUAAAGCUCUUUUGUCAGGGAAGAAACAGCAGCUCUAACACAGUUUGCGAAUGACGGUACCUGAAGAAUAAGCACCGGCUAACUACGUGCCAGCAGCCGCCGCGG